AUGCUACAGAGAAAUGGUUCAUGAAAGGAAGAGCCCGAGAAAUUGCCUCAGCAGCCACCACCCUGCUCAGUCAGCAGCCGUCAACAGCAAGGCAAGACCCUCCACAAGCAAAAAGAUUACUACUGGCUGAAGGCUCAGAGGAUGGUUAACAGUUUUUAGCAAGCAAGUAUUUUUAAUUAAGGUCUCCAUUCUUGGAAUUCUUGACUAAAUUGACUUCAAGUUAAUGAAACUUUAAGAGGGGAAAAUUCAACUUAUCUCCAUAUAGCUGAAUCUGUUAUACUUGAACUUACUUUUCUACCAUAAAGACACUGAAAGAAGAUGACUCCGACUGACCACACAUCAACCUUGUUGGAAAUCUUCGGUGGUUCCUUUCCAACUACAAAACACUCAGGAGGUGCCAAAAUCGGUCAGAGAACAGGAUUUCAGUGGCAGAGUUGUUGCUAUACUGUUAUCUCUUCAGAACGGAGGCACAAGGAGAGAUGAAUGCCACAUCGCAAGGAGCAAAGGAGAGAGAGAGAAAGAAAUGGUGUCAGGUGGCAUGUUGGAUGUGAUUUUUGUUUUAGUAGAGAUUGAGAUGACUGUAAUUGUUUAGCUGAUUCCUUCGGUCUGCAAAGAUACACUUGUGUUGGUGCUGAUGGUUCUUGACUAAUCCUGUUUCAAUUACAAGUUGGUUAUGUUUUUCCAAUAAAAAUUUCUGACACUUAUAUUCAGGGCUUCUCUCUC